UCAGUUCAGAUCGUAGGCUGCAACUCGCCUACGUGAAGGAGGAAUCGCUAGUAAUCGCAGGUCAGCAUACUGCGGUGAAUACGUUCCCGGGCCUUGCACACACCGCCCGUCACACCAUGGAAGUUGGCCACGCCCGAAGCCGUUACUCCAACCCUUGUGGAGGAGGACGUCGAAGGUGGGGCUGAUGACUGGGGUGAAGUCUAACAAGGUAUCCGUACCGGAAGGUGCGGAUGGAUCACCUCCUAA
rnacentral:rRNA from 1 species